UAGCGUAUAUUAAAGUUGUUGCAGUUAAAAAGCUCGUAGUUGGAUUUCAGUCUUAAUUCGUCUGGCCCGCUCCCUUGAGGAGCCGAGUGCCGGUUGCGAAUUGGACUUCCUUCUAGCAUGAAUCUCCUACCGUUAUGCGGCCGGGAAGGACAUCUGGAUCAUUUACUUUGAAGAAAUUAGAGUGUUCAAAGCAAGCUUACGCUGUGAAUAUAUUAGCAUGGAAUAAUAACAUAGGACUCGGGUUCUAUUUUGUUGGUUUCUAGGACUCAAGUAAUGAUUGAUAGGGACAGUUGGGGGUGCUGCUAUUAUAUGGCCAGAGGUGAAAUUCACGGAUUCAUAUAAGAGCAACUUAUGCGAAAGCAUUCACCAAGGAUGUCUUCUUUAAUCAAGAACGAAAGUUGGGGGAUCGAGGACGAUCAGAUACCGUCGUAGUCUCAACCAUAAACUAUGCCGACUAGGGAUUGGUGGACGUUGAAUUUCCGACUCCAUCAGCACCUCAUGAGAAAUCAAAGUCUUUGGGUUCCGGGGGGAGUAUGGUCGCAAGGCUGAAACUUAAAGGAAUUGACGGAAGGACACCACCAGAAGUGGAACUUGCGGCUUAAUUUGACUCAACACGGGAAAACUUACCAGGUCCAGACAUAGUAAGGAUUGACAGAUUGAAGAUCUUUCUUGAUUCUAUGGGUGGUG
rnacentral:rRNA from 1 species